GCCCAGGAGUCAUUUGUGUCAGGCGUGAAGUGAAGGCGCCUCAGUAACAGGGAGAAAUAGCUAGUCCUGUUUAUAUGGCUUAAAUCAUAAUAAUAAUAAUAAUAAGCAGCAGCAGCACAUGGUAGGAUUUUUGAUAAUGUAAUAGUAUGUCCAUGAUGACUCUGGGGAGAACCAGGACGGUGGGCCGCCAACUCCGAAUCACUAGGCGGAUUAACGUGGGAGAAUAUGGAAGGACUGGACCGACUGGGAAGUGAUAACUGCUGCAGAGAAAUGGAUGUUUCUUUAGAAACGCACCAGGUCCUACAAUGAGGAUUUGUCCUUGGCCAAUGAAGCAUGUCUGAUUGACACACACGCUUCGGGCUAUCAUCCACUACCAACAACCAAAAUUGGAUUUUUUUCUGCUUUUCUGUCAUUGUUUCCGAAGACCAACCAGUAAACACAUGGCAAAGUAGAUCAUUUUUGUAAUUUUUUUUUUCUGGCAGAAUAUUGGUGGUUUUUCAAGAACAAUGCAAAGUCUUGCACUAUAGCAUACACACACACACACACACACACACACACACACACACACACACACACACACACUUGGGGUGUCAUCCUCAGGCUUUCACAGGGUACAAUAUGAUUUCAAUUCUUCAGAUAACAAGUCAAAAUUUGAUGAUACGACUAAAUCUGCCACGAUAUGAUAUCGAUUCAUAAGAUUAUUUGAUAUGUGACCACCUUUGUGACGUAGUGAAGGAUAAUUUUAACAUUAUUAGCAUUAUGGGUAAAUCACCUUGCUAGCCUUGUAAAUUAUUUACACACCAAUUUAAAAAUAUGAAUUAUUUACACACCAACUGUCUGCCAUUUAAAAAAAAUCUGUCUAUAAUCAAGCAUGUUCAGUAAUAAUCGAUUUAUGAUUUUUGCCUCAAUUCAUUUCACCCAUUGCCUUUGUGAUACAACGAUACAUCAGGCGAUAGUUACACCCCUAUUCAGGAAAAGAAAAAGAGUACUGUGACCUUUCGUUGUCACUGGUGUGGUACCCUUAUCUCUUUUACUUUUAGUAUGUGUCUUUCACCUGGAAAUGUGGAUAUUGUGUACCUUUAAAACUACUUAAUGUUCAUAUUUGUACAGUAAUAGUAAACAUUUAAAGGUGUACUAUAGGCAUCUUCAUUUCUAGGUAAAAGAUACAUGCUAAAUGUGCUUGACAGUAUCACUCGAAAGACAAGGAAUGGUGUUAGAGUCAGUACCCUGGCUGUCUUGGUAAGAGAGUGUGGAUGUUUUUGAAAAGAUGUAAAUAUAGAACAAGUGCGAGUCUUUAACACCAUCCACAGCAUGCAUAUUGGGUUCUAAAUGCAAAAUGAGAUGAACACGUUGAGAAAACGCUAAGAAUAAACUGAGUAAAUGUACCUACAGUAUACGGUAUGCAAAAGUAUGGAAUAAACACAUCAGCUCCUGCAGACAAA